UGGGGAAUAUUGCACAAUGGAGGAAACUCUGAUGCAGCGACGCCGCGUGGAGGAAGAAGGUCUUCGGAUUGUAAACUCCUGUUGUUGAGGAAAAUAAGGAUGGUACUCAACAAGGAAGUGACGGCUAACUACGUGCCAGCAGCCGCGGUAAAACGUAGGUCACAAGCGUUGUCCGGAAUUACUGGGUGUAAAGGGAGCGCAGGCGGGUAUGCAAGUUGGAAGUGAAAUACAUGGGCUCAACCCAUGAACUGCUUUCAAAACUGUGUAUCUUGAGUAGUGCAGAGGUAGGCGGAAUUCCCGGUGUAGCGGUGGAAUGCGUAGAUAUCGGGAGGAACACCAGUGGCGAAGGCGGCCUACUGGGCACCAACUGACGCUGAGGCUCGAAAGUGUGGGUAGC
rnacentral:rRNA from 1 species